rnacentral:rRNA from 1 species
GAUGAACGCUGGCGGCGUGCUUAACACAUGCAAGUCGAACGAAGCACUUUAUUUGAUUUCCUUCGGGACUGAUUAUUUUGUGACUGAGUGGCGGACGGGUGAGUAACGCGUGGGUAACCUGCCUUGUACAGGGGGAUAACAGUUGGAAACGGCUGCUAAUACCGCAUAAGCGCACAGCAUCGCAUGAUGCAGUGUGAAAAACUCCGGUGGUAUAAGAUGGACCCGCGUUGGAUUAGCUAGUUGGUGAGGUAACGGCCCACCAAGGCAACGAUCCAUAGCCGACCUGAGAGGGUGACCGGCCACAUUGGGACUGAGACACGGCCCAAACUCCUACGGGAGGCAGCAGUGGGGAAUAUUGCACAAUGGGCGAAAGCCUGAUGCAGCGACGCCGCGUGAGCGAAGAAGUAUUUCGGUAUGUAAAGCUCUAUCAGCAGGGAAGAUAAUGACGGUACCUGACUAAGAAGCACCGGCUAAAUACGUG